UACGAAGGGGGCGAGCGUUGUUCGGAUUUACUGGGCGUAAAGCGUGCGCAGGCGGUCUGUUAAGACCGAUGUGAAAUCCCCGGGCUUAACCUGGGGAACUGCAUUGGUGACUGGCAGGCUUUGAGUGUGGCAGAGGGAGGUAGAAUUCCACGUGUAGCAGUGAAAUGCGUAGAGAUGUGGAGGAAUACCGAUGGCGAAGGCAGCCUCCUGGGCCAACACUGACGCUCAUGCACGAAAGCGUGGGGAGCAAACAGG
rnacentral:rRNA from 1 species